AUCCAACUGAUGAGUCCCAAGUAGGACGAAACACAUGUCAAAAUGGAU
rnacentral:hammerhead_ribozyme from 1 species